UAAUGGUGGGAGAGGGAAUCAACAGUUCCAUGUUUGUGUAUGAUGAAAUAACCUUUGUUAUCCCCCCUCCCUCCAUUUUCUAGCCCCCUCUUGCAAAAGUGUGCAGGGAUGUGAUGAGCAAUUGGGAUGGAGGUGUUCCUUCUGGUUGUCAUAGAGUUGCUUGCUAUCAGGAAAGGGAGCUGGAAACAUCCUCCUCUUCAGACCCAAGUUGAUAGCUGAACAAACUUCCUCCACUCAGUGCAGCUGCUGGACAUUAAGUUAUAAAAAAAGAUGAAGCAUGGAUGAAGAGGGUUAGAGAGCUGAAGACUGUGCCAGCUUUUCAAAAUUCAGCCGUCAUCCUGAAUCCAUUGAUUCCUACCUGGACAUAUGAGGUUGGAGAACAGAUGUAGGUAGCGGAAAGCUGUUGACUGCAAACCAAGGUAAACAAUAGGAAUUCUGGACAGAUGCAUCAUUCACUUGUCCUUUGACCCCUCCAAGAAGUCAAGAAGUAAAAGUCAAGUUGUUCAAAUGGGUGAGAGUGAAGUUGAAGCCUGAGGUUACAAUGAU